CCGCCCGAGCCUGAAACGGGCGGGGAAAGGGACGGAGGAGACUUAGAGGAGGGAAGGGAGGGGAGAGGAAGGCCCAAAGAAACCUACGUUUUAUUGCGAAGCCCUUAUGUCUAGGGCGGAGUGCUGGGUGCUUGACCUGCGCUCUCACAAGCUUCCAGUGAUUUAUCCUCAUUUCACUCUCAUUUCACAGUAGAAAAUUUUAGAUUGCAUGUGUGGCUCUCCUUUGUGGUUCCUGUCAUAUUUCUAACUGACAGUGCUGGAUCAGAAAGUGACUUGUCCGAGGCUACACAACUAUUACUUUCUUAGAGUGGCUUCCUCAACUCACCCUCAGUCCACCCUCAUUGACUGGACUACAGGCUCUGUGAGAGCAGGGAUUGUGUAUGUCAUGUUCACUGCUGCAUUAUCCAUCAAGCCUAGUACAGUGCCUGCUAGAGGGGAAGGUUUCUCAAUCAGCCUUGUGGGCCAUGGGUGGCGGCAGCAGUUCCAGGUACAACAUCGAGAAGAAUAAGAGAGAUCAUUUUUUUUUGAGGCUCUUUCUUAGGAUGAAGGGAGAAGGAAGAAAGGAUGCUGGUAGGGACCAGAUGUGUCCCUUGCCUAAAGAAAGGAUUCUGCAGUCAAGUAUGUUCAGCUGGAAAAGCCAUAAAACCAGCUCUCACAAUGGCCCAUAAGAAUGUAACAAAUUUCAUAAGCCCCUAAUUCUGAGAAGCAGUUCCCAUCAAUGCCUCACAACAAUGACCCUCAUGAGUGAGGCCUUCCAGAAAUGCUUUAGUAAUAAUGGAUAGAGAGAACUAUUUGUGCUAUCACCAUUGGAGGCCAGUAAAAAGGACAUUGGCCAAAACCACUUUGCUCUUGGGAAGUAAGCAGAUUCCCUAGCAAGUAAGCAGAAGCAGUUGUUUAUUAUGCAGCCUUAGCACUAAGGAUGUAUAUUAGUUGUGUCUUGCUACCUAACAAGUUACCCCAAAACUUAGUGACUUAAAAUAACAACGAACAUUUAUUAUCUCACACAACUUCAAAGAAUCAGGAAUUUAGAAGCAGCUUAUCAGGAUGGUUCUGACUCAGAGUCUCUCAUGAGGUUGCAGUCAAGAUGUCAGUCACUUCCAAGAUGGCUCACUCACAUGGCCAGCACGUUGAUACUGGCUGUUGGCUGGAAACCUCAGUUCCCCGCCACGUAGAUGUCUUUAUCAGGCUGACUGAGUGUUCUCACAACAUGCUGACUGGCUUCCCCCAGAGCAAGUGACCCAAGAGAGAGUAAGACAAAAGCCACAGUGCCUUUUGUGACCUAGCCUCAGAAUUUAGUCCAUCAUUUCUGCAGUAUCUAUGGAUCGCACAGUUCAGACCUAUUCACUGUGGGAGGGCACUCCACAGGGCAUGAAUACCAGGAAGUGAGAUUCACUGGGACCCUCUUGGAAGUGGAGCCUCUCCAGCCAGUCAAGCCUUCAGAUGACUGUAACCUCAUGAGACAUAGAGAGCCGGAAGCCAUCCCUAAAUUCCUAAUCCACAGAAACAGUGAAAUCAUAAAUGCUUGUUGUUUCAUCCUCCUAAGUUUUAGGUAAUUUGUUGUGCAGCAAGAGAUAUACAAAGUCCAAGCAGGUUAGGUACCAAAGAAUGAGAUUCAUAGUGACUGGUAGUCACUAUGACCUAUUGAUAAUCUGAGCAUUUGAUUAACACCCAUUAGAUGCCCUGAAUCAUUCACAGCAGAUAUCAAUGAAAUUAACACCAGCAACAAUGAAGGCAAAGAAUGUUCCUGCACCCCAUAUCAGCAAAAAGGGAAACUGCUAAAUUUGCACUUUCCCAUAGAGGAUCAUAAUGCACAUUAGUAUAUUAAAAGCUCUGAGCAAUCUUAUAUGGCGGAAACUGUUUAACUUUGUUCCACCCAAUGUUUUCCAAGUUCAUUUCACCACAGAAGCCACUUUUCAUGUAACACAUUAGUAUCC